rnacentral:rRNA from 1 species
GUACACUCCUGCGGGAGGCAGCAGUGGGGAAUAUUGGACAAUGGGCGCAAGCCUGAUCCAGCCAUGCCGCGUGAGUGAUGAAGGCCCUAGGGUUGUAAAGCUCUUUCACCGGUGAAGAUAAUGACGGUAACCGGAGAAGAAGCCCCGGCUAACUUCGUGCCAGCAGCCGCGGUAAUACGAAGGGGGCUAGCGUUGUUCGGAUUUACUGGGCGUAAAGCGCACGUAGGCGGACUAUUAAGUCAGGGGUGAAAUCCCGGGGCUCAACCCCGGAACUGCCUUUGAUACUGGUAGUCUUGAGUUCGAGAGAGGUGAGUGGAAUUCCGGGUGUAGAGGUGAAAUUCGUAGAUAUUCGGAGGAACACCAGUGGCGAAGGCGGCUCACUGGCUCGAUACUGACGCUGAGGUGCGAAAGCGUGGGGAGCAAACAGGAUUAGAAACCCCAGUAGUCCCAUGA